UACGUAGGGGGCAAGCGUUGUCCGGAGUUAUUGGGCGUAAAGGGCGCGUAGGCGGCUUGGCAAGUGGAUGGUGAAAUCCCUCGGCUUAACCGAGGAACUGCCGUCCAAACUGCUUCGCUUGAGACCGGGAGAGGUGAGUGGAAUUCCCAGUGUAGCGGUGAAAUGCGUAGAUAUUGGGAGGAACACCAGUGGCGAAGGCGGCUCACUGGACCGGUACUGACGCUGAUGCGCGAAAGCGUGGGGAGCAAACGGG
rnacentral:rRNA from 1 species